AAAGUUGUAACAAGGUCUCCGUUGGUGAACCAGCGGAGGGAUCAUUAGCGAGUUA
rnacentral:rRNA from 1 species